GAACGAUGACUUCUGUGCUUGCACAGAAUGAUUAGUGGCGAACGGGUGAGUAACACGUGAGUAACCUGCCCUUAACUUCGGGAUAAGCCUGGGAAACCGGGUCUAAUACCGGAUACGACCUCCUGGCGCAUGCCAUGGUGGUGGAAAGCUUUAGCGGUUUUGGAUGGACUCGCGGCCUAUCAGCUUGUUGGUUGGGGUAAUGGCCCACCAAGGCGACGACGGGUAGCCGGCCUGAGAGGGUGACCGGCCACACUGGGACUGAGACACGGCCCAGACUCCUACGGGAGGCAGCAGUGGGGAAUAUUGCACAAUGGGCGAAAGCCUGAUGCAGCGACGCCGCGUGAGGGAUGACGGCCUUCGGGUUGUAAACCUCUUUCAGCAGGGAAGAAGCGAAAGUGACGGUACCUGCAGAAGAAGCGCCGGCUAACUACGUGCCAGCAGCCGCGGUAAUACGUAGGGCGCAAGCGUUAUCCGGAAUUAUUGGGCGUAAAGAGCUCGUAGGCGGUUUGUCGCGUCUGCUGUGAAAGCCCGGGGCUCAACCCCGGGUCUGCAGUGGGUACGGGCAGACUAGAGUGCAGUAGGGGAGACUGGAAUUCCUGGUGUAGCGGUGAAAUGCGCAGAUAUCAGGAGGAACACCGAUGGCGAAGGCAGGUCUCUGGGCUGUAACUGACGCUGAGGAGCGAAAGCAUGGGGAGCGAACAGGAUUAGAUACCCUGGUAGUCCAUGCCGUAAACGUUGGGCACUAGGUGUGGGGGACAUUCCACGUUUUCCGCGCCGUAGCUAACGCAUUAAGUGCCCCGCCUGGGGAGUACGGCCGCAAGGCUAAAACUCAAAGGAAUUGACGGGGGCCCGCACAAGCGGCGGAGCAUGCGGAUUAAUUCGAUGCAACGCGAAGAACCUUACCAAGGCUUGACAUGAAC
rnacentral:rRNA from 1 species